GAUGAACGCUCGGCGGGCGGUGCUUAACACAUGCAAGUCGAACGAGAAUCGAACGGAUUGAGGAUUCGUCCAAAUGAAGUUGAGGAAAGUGGCGGACGGGUGAGUAACGCGUGAGGAACCUGCCUCGGAGUGGGGAAUAACAGUUGGAAACAGCUGCUAAUACCGCAUAAUGCAACGGAAUCGCAUGACUCUGUUGCCAAAGAUUUAUCGCUCUGAGAUGGCCUCGCGUCUGAUUAGCUAGUUGGCGGGGUAACGGCCCACCAAGGCGACGAUCAGUAGCCGGACUGAGAGGUUGGCCGGCCACAUUGGGACUGAGACACGGCCCAG
rnacentral:rRNA from 1 species